GACGUAGGGCGCGAGCGUUGUCCGGAAUUAUUGGGCGUAAAGAGCUCGUAGGCGGUUUGUCGCGUCUGCUGUGAAAACCUAAGGCUCAACCUUGGGCUUGCAGUGGGUACGGGCAGACUAGAGUGUGGUAGGGGAGACUGGAAUUCCUGGUGUAGCGGUGAAAUGCGCAGAUAUCAGGAGGAACACCGAUGGCGAAGGCAGGUCUCUGGGCCACUACUGACGCUGAGAAGCGAAAGCAUGGGGAGCGAACAGG
rnacentral:rRNA from 1 species